rnacentral:rRNA from 1 species
GAGUUUGAUCUUGGCUCAGGUUGAACGCUGGCGGCAUGCCUUACACAUGCAAGUCGAACGGCAGCAUGAUCUAGCUCGCUAGAUUGAUGGCGAGUGGCGAACGGGUGAGUAAUACAUCGGAACGUGCCCUGUAGUGGGGGAUAACUAGUCGAAAGAUUAGCUAAUACCGCAUACGACCUGAGGGUGAAAGUGGGGGACCGCAAGGCCUCAUGCUAUAGGAGCGGCCGAUGUCUGAUUAGCUAGUUGGUGGGGUAAAGGCCCACCAAGGCGACGAUCAGUAGCUGGUCUGAGAGGACGAUCAGCCACACUGGGACUGAGACACGGCCCAGACUCCUACGGGAGGCAGCAGUGGGGAAUUUUGGACAAUGGGCGAAAGCCUGAUCCAGCAAUGCCGCGUGUGUGAAGAAGGCCUCGGUGUAAG